rnacentral:rRNA from 1 species
GAUAGGUUAAGUUAAUAAGGGCGCAUGGUGGAUGCCUUGGCACUAGAAGGCGAUGAAGGACGUGACUAACUACGAUAUGCCUCGGUUAGCUGUAAGUAAGCUUACCCGGGGGUUUCCGAAUGGGGCAACCCGAUCUUAAUGAUCAUCAUCUUUUUGAAUUCAUAGAUUAGAUGAAGCAAACGCUGUGAACUGAAACAUCUAAGUAGCAGUAGGAAAGUAAAGAAAUUUCGAUUCCGUCAGUAGCGGCGAGCGAACGCGGAAGAGCCCAAACCUGGAUGCUUGCAUCCAGGGGUUGUAGGACUGAUGUUGAGUUACAAAGGUAUAAGAUAGCAGAAACAGUUGGGAAGCUGUUCCAAAGAGGGUGACAGGCCCGUAUGCGAAAUCUUGUACUCUCUAAUCAGGAUCCUGAGUACGGCCCAGCACGUGAAAUUGGGUCGGAAUCUGGGAGGACCAUCUCCCAAGGCUAAAUACUAACUAGUGACCGAUAGCGAACAAGUACCGUGAGGGAAAGGUGAAAAGAACCCCGGAAGGGGAGUGAAAUAGUUCUUGAAACCGUGUGCUUACAAGAAGUUCGAGGCCGUUAAUGGCUGAGAGCGUGCUUUUUGUAGAAUGAACCGGAGAGUUACGAUUGCGUGCAAGGUUAAGGUGCAAAGACUGGAGCCGUAGCGAAAGCGAGUCUUAAUAGGGCGAAUCAGUACGUAGUUGUAG